rfam:Citrus sinensis cultivar Ridge Pineapple sweet orange scaffold00021_contig_229, whole genome shotgun sequence.
AGAGGAUAAAUCCAAAGGGAUCGCAUUGAUCCUAAGCCUUAAUUAUAAUUCUCAUACUUAAUGUUCAUGAGGAUCAUGCUAUCCCUUUGGAUUCCUCCUU